rnacentral:rRNA from 1 species
UACGUAGGGGGCAAGCGUUGUCCGGAAUCAUUGGGCGUAAAGAGCGUGUAGGCGGCCCGAUAAGUCCGCUGUGAAAGUCCAGGGCUCAACCCUGGGAUGCCGGUGGAUACUGUCGGGCUCGAGUCCGGAAGAGGAGUGUGGAAUUCCUGGUGUAGCGGUGAAAUGCGCAGAUAUCAGGAGGAACACCAAUGGCGAAGGCAGCACUCUGGGACGUGACUGACGCUGAGACGCGAAAGCCAGGGGAGCGAACGGG